rnacentral:lncRNA from 1 species
CUUCUCUCUCUUAUCUCUUCUUCUCUCUCCUCUCUCUUCUCUCCCACUUUUCCCCCCACGUGACCGAAAGCCCCCCUUCCCCUCGUUUCUCGCCCGUGAAAACCAGAGACGAGGAAGAAGAAGCCGCACGGUUGCAACUCGCCGGAGCCGUCGCCGCCCGCACCGCCGCCCGGACGCCCACCGCUCGCCGCCGUUCCGUCGUCCGCGCGCCCCCGUGUCUUCAGCUCACUGCCGUCCCUCCCCCGUGCGAGUCCAACCGCUGCCCAGCUCAGUCCGGCGCCUCCAGCCACCGCCUACCGCCGUCCGGCCACCGCCUACCGCCGUCCGGCCACCGCGCCACCCCCCAACGUCCCUCUCGGUCUCCGCCGGCCUCCCCUCGCCGCCCUAGCCACUGGACGAGCUUCGUCCAGCCAAGAACAGUGGCUGGAAAAAUGGGUUUCCAGCCCUGUUCAAGGCCCGUUUUGGGCCCUUUCCGGGCCCCGAACCCGAGCCGUGCUUUGGGAAGAAUCGUUCCUCGCGUCGCCCCCGUCGGAUUGAUCCGAUUUGCGCGCGAUUUAGUGAGUAAUCUCACUAAUCCCGGAUUAGUUGGCUAAUUAUGCUUAAGGUUGGUUUAGUUUUAAUUAAUUAUGUUUAGGUUGUUAUAUUAGAAUAAAUUAGCAAUUAUUAGUCAAAUGUGAUGCGAUUUAGAUAAAUUGAUUGCGCAAUUAGCAAGUAAACGUGGUCUACUAAUUAUUGGAAGUGC